CAACCGAAAGGAGGGAGCUGCCGAAGGCGGGAUUGGUAACUGGGGUGAAGUCGUAACAAGGUAGCCGUAUCGGAAGGUGCGGCUGGAUCACCUCCUUUCUAAGGA
rnacentral:rRNA from 1 species